rnacentral:rRNA from 1 species
UUUCCUACGGGAGGCAGCAGUAGGGAAUUUUCGUCAAUGGGCGCAAGCCUGAACGAGCAAUGCCGCGUGAACGAGGAAGGUCUUCGGAUCGUAAAGUUCUGUUGAAGGGGAAAAAGAGCGGAGAGAGGAAAUGGUCUCCGAUUGAUAUUACCCUUCGAGGAAGUCACGGCUAACUACGUGCCAGCAGCCGCGGUAAUACGUAGGUGGCGAGCGUUAUCCGGAAUGAUUGGGCGUAAAGGGUGCGUAGACGGCGAGGUAAGCCUGAAGUGGAAGCCCGCGGCCCAACCGCGGAACUGCUUUGUGUU